UAAAGCAACUGUAAUCCUAAUUUUCGGAACGAAAACAGCAGCAGCAGCCAUCAGCAGGAGACGCAGAGGAGGGGAAGAAGAAGACCAUUAGAAAUGGAAGCGACGUCGUUUUUGAAAAAUAGAUACUGGAUAUUGAGGCACGGCAAAAGCAUUCCAAACGAGAGAGGCCUCAUUGUCUCCUCUCUGGAAAAUGGCGUCUCUGCAGAAUACCAAUUAGCUUCUGAAGGUGUGACCCAGGCACAGUUGGCUGGAGAAUUAUUUCAAAUGGAACUGAAGGAAAAAAACAUACUGCUUGAAAAUGUUCGCAUCUGCUACUCUCCAUUUGCAAGAACAAGUCACACUGCCAAAGUUGUAGCAUCUGUUUUGAAUCUUCCAUUUGAAGGUCCUCAAUGUAAGGUGGUGAAAGGUCUUCGAGAACGUUACUUUGGUCCUUCAUUUGAACUUAUGUCACAUGAUAAGUAUCCAGAGAUUUGGGCACUUGAUGAGAAAGAUCCAUUCAUGCAACCUGAAGGGGGAGAAAGUGCUAAUGAUGUUGCUGCUAGACUUGUGACUGCCAUCUCACUUAUAGAGUCAGAAUUUCAAGGAUGUGCUGUGCUAAUCGUCAGCCAUGGUGAUCCGUUGCAAAUCUUGCAAACAAUAUUAAAUGCAGCUAAAGAAAACAAAGAAUCCAGCUCCGGUGACCUAGAAGCAAGAAUUCAAAUGGUCAGAGUUCCUUCAAUCUUAUCUCAGCACCGAAAGUUUGCAUUGCUUACUGGAGAAUUACGACUGGUUAUAUAAACAGCAAGCGGACACGGCCAAGGAGAUAAACCUUUGCCUUUGACAAACUAUAUAUAAAUAUAUCUAAGCUGAGGACUUCAGUAGAUAAGUUUAUUCCAAUAAGUAUUAAACUUACUUUUUUUUUUUUUUUUUUUUUUUUGGUAAGUAGCCAAAAAUUUGCUUCUUAAGUAGACAAAUGGCUUCUUCCGAUGAGGGGAUUUUUUUAAUAAUGACUUUUAUAUUCAGCUUAAACUUA